rnacentral:lncRNA from 1 species
GCAUCUAAGUCUAACAUGCCUUUACUAAAUCAUGUAUUAAAUGCAUUAAUAAUGGAUUGAGAGUCUUUUAAGGUGAAAUGUAUAUAUUUUUGUAAAAAUUAGUGCAGUAUAUUUAAAAAGCUUUUCGAGUAAUUCUCCUUUUUCGUUCUUUACCAAUUUAGUCCCAGAAAUUUCACAUGCUGCGGUAUGCAUGCAUGUGAAAGGUCGAUCUUUCCAACAACUUUUCUCGUAAUUCAUCAUAUUAAUUUGAACAUCUUAAUUUAUGUAAUAAUUCUCAAACAAACUUAAUUUUAAGGUUUAGUUUAGGGGUUUUUUCAUACUUGUUAGAAACUUUAUUAUCAAAAAUAUUCAUAUUUACAUAAUUACCCGACCUACCCAUGUUUAGUUUACAAAAAUAUAUACAUUUCACCUUACAAGUCUCUCAAUCCAUUAUUAAUGCAUUUAACAACGGAUUUAGUAAAGGCGACUUAGAUGCUUUUUUAAUCAAGUGUUAAUGCUAUCGUUGUAAUUGACCCCUGAGGAUUUAGUAAAGGCAUGUUAGACUUAGAUGCCUUUGGUAGGGUGUAUAUUUAAAAAGCUUUUCGAGUAAUGCUCCUUUUUCGUUCUUUACCAAUUUAGUCCCAGAAAUUUCACAUGCUGCGGUAUGCAUGCAUGUGAAAGGUCGAUCUUUCCAACAACUUUUCUCGUAAUUCAUCAUAUUAAUUUGAACAUCUUAAUUUAUGUAAUAAUUCUCAAACAAACUUAAUUUUAAGGUUUAGUUUAGGGGUUUUUUCAUACUUGUUAGAAACUUUAUUAUCAAAAAUAUUCAUAUUUACAUAAUUACCCGACCUACCCAUGUUUAGUUUACAAAAAUAUAUACAUUUCACCUUACAAGUCUCUCAAUCCAUUAUUAAUGCAUUUAACAACGGAUUUAGUAAAGGCGACUUAGAUGCUUUUUUAAUCAAGUGUUAAUGCUAUCGUUGUAAUUGACCCCUGACAUCCUUCCCUCCAAGAACUUCCCACCUUACUCUUGGGGAGACUCCAACUCACACCCUCUCGGUUGGAAGUGGA